rnacentral:lncRNA from 1 species
UGAAUCAAGUGGGAGUUAAUCUUCCAGAUGAGAUAGUGAUGGUUCUCCAAAGUCACUGCCACCAAGCUGUGAGAGCUUCGUUAUGAACUAUAACAUAUCAAGGAUACAUACAAUGAUCCUUGAGCGAUUCGCGAUGUUUGACACUGCGAAAGUAGAAAUCAAGAAGGAGCAUCAAUAGUUGAUGGUUUGUAAAACCACUAAGUUUCAAGAAAGGCAAGGGCUAGAAGGGAUACUUCGUGAAACGGCAAAACAGUUGCUGCACUAAUGAAGAGACCCAAGAUUAAACCCAAACCCGAGACUAAGUGCUUCUGUAAUGAGGGGAACAAUCACUGAGGCGGAGCAACUCAAGAUACUUGGUAGAUAAGAAGGCUGGCAAAAGUCGAAAGAAGUGUAUUUGAUAUACAUGAUGUUGAUGUUACUUUACUAGUACUCCUAGUAGCACGAGGGUAUUGGAUACCGGUUCCGUUGCUAAGUGAUUAGUGACGCGAAAUGAAAGCUACGGCAUAAACGGAGACUAGCUAAAGGCGAGGUGACGAUACGUGUUGGAAGUGUUUCCAAGAUUGAUAUGAUCAAACGUCGCACGCUCCCUCUACCAUCGGGAUUGGUGUUAAACCUAAAUAAUUGUUAUUUGGUGCUUGCGUUAAGCAUGAACAUGAUUGGAUCGUGUUUAUUGCAAUACGAUUAUUCAUUUAAAGAGAAUAAUGGUUACUCUAUUUUCUUGAAUAAUCACCUUCAAUGGUUUAUUGAAUCUCGAUCGUAGUGUUACACAUGUUCAUGAUAUUGGUGCCAAAAGAUACGAGU